rnacentral:rRNA from 1 species
UUAAAUAUUUAAUUAUUAUAUUAUUUAUUUAAAAUUAAUUAUAUUUUAUUUUAUUAGAAAUAACUUUAGUUUUAGUAUAUUUAUUGAAUCAAUUAAUAUUAAUAAUAGUUUAUUGUACUGUAAAGGGUUUAUUAAUAAUUUAAUAAAAGUAGGAUUUGUUUUCUGUACCUUUUGCAUCAGGGUUUAUCAAAAUUAUAAUAAUUAAUUUAUUAUUCCCGAAAUUAAAAGAGUUAUAAUUUAUAUGUUAGUUUUUGUUUCAAAAAAAUUAAUAAUUUAAUUAUAGUAGUUAUAUGCUAUUCAUUUUUAAAUAUCUGGUUUUUCAAUAAUUAAAUUAAAUUUAAGAUUAUUAAAAGUUAUAAUAUCAUUAUAUUUAAUUGUAAUUUAAUAAUCAAAAAUAUUUGGGGAUUAGCUCAAAUAUUUUAAUAUAACUUUUAUUUAAUAUUAAUUUUAAUAGGCUUAAUAACAGCCAUUUUAUAUUUCGUUAUAGUAUAUAUUAAUAUAUAUUUUAUUUAUUUAAGUUUAUUUAUAUAUUGAAAUUUAUUAUUUAAUUCUAAAAUAAUAGUAAUAAUGAUAAAAUUAGUAGAUUUUUAAUAUUAAAUAUAGGAAUUCGGCAAAAUUAAUGCUCGCCUGUUUAACAAAAACAUGUUCUAUUGUUAUAUUUAUUUUAGAUUUAACCUGCCCAAUGAUUAAAUUUAAAUGGCCGCAGUAUUUUAACUGUGCAAAGGUAGCAUAAUCAUUUGUCUUUUAAUUGAAGACUUGUAUGAAUGGUUGGACGAGGUAUUUCCUUUCUUUAUUUAAUUUAAUUUAAUUUAAUUUUUAAGUUAAAAAGCUUAAAUAUAUUUGUAGGACGAGAAGACCCUAUAGAAUUUUAUUUUUUAUUAAUAAUUGAAUUUAUUAGUUAAUAAAAUAUUUUUUAUUAGUAAAAAAUUUUAUUGGGGUGAUAAGGAAAUUUUUUUAACUUUCUUUUAAUUGAAAUUUACAUAAAUUAGUGUUUUAAAGAUCCUGUAUUAUGGAUAAUAAGAAUAAAUUACCUUAGGGAUAACAGCGUAAUUCUUUUUAAGAGUUCUUAUCGAUGAAAGAGUUUGCGACCUCGAUGUUGGAUUAAAAUUAAUAAUAGGUGUAGCCGCUUAUUAAUUAGGUCUGUUCGACCUUUAAAUUUUUACAUGAUCUGAGUUCAGACCGGCGUGAGCCAGGUUGGUUUCUAUCCUCAAUUUUAAUUAAUAUUUUAGUACGAAAGGACCAAUUAUUAUAAAUAAUUUAUUUUAUAGAAUAAUAUUAA